GGCUGUCGCCCGGACGUGUCCCAGUCCGAAUCCGAAAGCGCCGCGCCCAGGCGGGGACCGGCCCACGAACGGGCGCUCGAGGUCCGCGGCGAUUCGGCCACCCA
rnacentral:rRNA from 1 species